rnacentral:rRNA from 1 species
AGCGAACGCUGGCGGCAGGCCUAACACAUGCAAGUCAAACGAACUCUUCGGAGUUAGUGGCGGACGGGUGAGUAACACGUGGGAACGUGCCUUUUGGUUCGGAAUAACUCAGGGAAACUUGUGCUAAUACCGAAUGUGCCCUUCGGGGGAAAGAUUUAUCGCCAUUAGAGCGGCCCGCGUCUGAUUAGCUAGUUGGUGAGGUAACGGCUCACCAAGGCGACGAUCAGUAGCUGGUCUGAGAGGAUGACCAGCCACACUGGGACUGAGACACGGCCCAGACUCCUACGGGAGGCAGCAGUGGGGAAUCUUGCGCAAUGGGCGAAAGCCUGACGCAGCCAUGCCGCGUGAAUGAUGAAGGUCUUAGGAUUGUAAAAUUCUUUCACCGGGGACGAUAAUGACAGUACCCGGAGAAGAAGCCCCGGCUAACUUCGUG